rnacentral:rRNA from 1 species
UGAGGAAUAUUGGUCAAUGGGCGCAGGCCUGAACCAGCCAAGUAGCGUGAAGGAUGACUGCCCUAUGGGUUGUAAACUUCUUUUAUAAAGGAAUAAAGUCGGGUAUGUAUACCCGUUUGCAUGUACUUUAUGAAUAAGGAUCGGCUAACUCCGUGCCAGCAGCCGCGGUAAUACGGAGGAUCCGAGCGUUAUCCGGAUUUAUUGGGUUUAAAGGGAGCGUAGAUGGAUGUUUAAGUCAGUUGUGAAAGUUUGCGGCUCAACCGUAAAAUUGCAGUUGAUACUGGAUAUCUUGAGUGCAGUUGAGGCAGGCGGAAUUCGUGGUGUAGCGGUGAAAUGCUUAGAUAUCACGAAGAACUCCGAUUGCGAAGGCAGCCUGCUAAGCUGCAACUGACAUUGAGGCUCGAAAGUGUGGGUAUCAAACAGGAUUAGAUACCCUGGUAGUCCACACGGUAAACGAUGAAUACUCGCUGUUUGCGAUAUACUGCAAGCGGCCAAGCGAAAGCGUUAAGUAUUCCACCUGGGGAGUACGCCGGCAACGGUGAAACUCAAAGGAAUUGACGGGGGCCCGCACAAGCGGAGGAACAUGUGGUUUAAUUCGAUGAUACGCGAGGAACCUUACCCGGGCUUAAAUUGCAGAUGAAUUACGGUGAAAGCCGUAAGCCGCAAGGCAUCUGUGAAGGUGCUGCAUGGUUGUCGUCAGCUCGUGCCGUGAGGUGUCGGCUUAAGUGCCAUAACGAGCGCAACCCUUGUUGUCAGUUACUAACAGGUUCCGCUGAGGACUCUGACAAGACUGCCAUCGUAAGAUGUGAGGAAGGUGGGGAUGACGUCAAAUCAGCACGGCCCUUACGUCCGGGGCUACACACGUGUUACAAUGGGGGGUACAGAGGGCCGCUACCGCGCGAGUGGAUGCCAAUCCCCAAAACCUCUCUCAGUUCGGACUGGAGUCUGCAACCCGACUCCACGAAGCUGGAUUCGCUAGUAAUCGCGCAUCAGCCACGGCGCGGUGAAUACGUUCCC